rnacentral:rRNA from 1 species
AUUGAACGCUGGCGGCAUGCCUUACACAUGCAAGUCGAACGGCAGCACGGGAGCAAUCCUGGUGGCGAGUGGCGAACGGGUGAGUAAUGUAUCGGAACGUACCUUUCAGUGGGGGAUAACGUAGCGAAAGUUAACGCUAAUAACCGCAUAUUCUGUGAGCGAGGAAAGACAGGGGAGUCGCAAGACCUUGCGCUGAUUGAGCGGCCGAUAUCAGAUUAGCUAGUUGGUGAGGUAAAGGCUCACCAAGGCGACGAUCUGUAGCGGGUCUGAGAGGGAUGAUCCGCCACACUGGAACUGAGACACGGUCCAGACGUCCUACGGGAGGCAGCAGUGGGGAAUUUUGGACAAUGGGCGCAAGCCUGAUCCAGCCAUGCCGCGUGAGU